rnacentral:rRNA from 1 species
AUGCACGCUGGCGGCGUGCCUCAUACAUGCCAGUCGAGCGAACAGACGAGGAGCUUGCUCCUCUGACGUUAGCGGCGGACGGGUGAGUAACACGUGGAUAACCUACCUAUAAGACUGGGAUAACUUCGGGAAACCGGAGCUAAUACCGGAUAAUAUAUUGAACCGCAUGGUUCAAUAGUGAAAGACGGUUUUGCUGUCACUUAUAGAUGGAUCCGCGCCGCAUUAGCUAGUUGGUAAGGUAACGGCUUACCAAGGCAACGAUGCGUAGCCGACCUGAGAGGGUGAUCGGCCACACUGGAACUGAGACACGGUCCAGACUCCUACGGGAGGCAGCAGUAGGGAAUCUUCCGCAAUGGGCGAAAGCUUGACGGAGCAACGCCGCGUGAGUGAUGAAGGUCUUCGGAUCGUAAAACUCUGUUAUUAGGGAGGAACAAAUGUGUAAGUAACUAUGCACGUCUUGACGGUACCUAAUCAGAAAGCCACGGCUAACUACGUG